rnacentral:rRNA from 1 species
GACGAACGCUGGCGGCGUGCUUAACACAUGCAAGUCGAGCGAUGAAGUUCCUUCGGGAAUGGAUUAGCGGCGGACGGGUGAGUAAUACGUGGGUAACCUGCCUCAUAGAGGGGAAUAGCCUUCCGAAAGGCAGAUUAAUACCGCAUAAGAUUGUAGUACCGCAUGGUAUAGCAAUUAAAGGAGCAAUCCGCUAUGAGAUGGAGCCGCGUCGCAUUAGCUAGUUGGUGAGGUAACGGCUCACCAAGGCGACGAUGCGUAGCCGACCUGAGAGGGUGAUCGGCCACAUUGGGACUGAGACACGGCCCAGACUCCUACGGGAGGCAGCAGUGGGGAAUAUUGCACAAUGGGGGAAACCCUGAUGCAGCAACGCCGCGUGAGUGAUGAAGGUCUUCGGAUUGUAAAACUCUGUCUUCAGGGACGAUAAUGACGGUACCUGAGGAGGAAGCCACGGCUAACUACGUGCCAGCCGCCGCUGUAAAAC